rnacentral:rRNA from 1 species
UCCGUAGGCGGGUAAUUAAGUCAGAGGUGAAAUCCCACAGCUUAACUGUGGAACUGCCUUAGAUACUGGUUAUCUUGAGUUUUAGUGAAGUAGAUAGAAUGUGUAGUGUAGCGGUGAUAUGCAUAGAUAUUACACAGAAUACCGAUUGCGAAGGCAGUCUACUAACUAACAACUGACGCUAAUGGACGAAAGCGUGGGGAGCGAACAGGAUUAGAUACCCUGGUAGUCC